UCCUGAUAAUGAGGCGUGACUGUUCCCUACCCCUCCUGGCUGCAGCCUGCUCUUCUUGUCUGGGAGGUGAGACCAUCCAGUCCCCUCUUGCUGUGUCGCUUGGGAUGGCAUUAGAGAUUUUUAGAACAAGCCUAAGGACAAACCAAACCCUUUUGGAUGCAGCAUAAACCCUAAAAUACGAACUGUUUUCUCAGGCUUUAGUAUAUGAGGAGAGCUGAUGCUGCCGUGCUGCUUAAAUGGCAAGGAUCUGAAAACCGGAAGCGAUUCACAAGUGUUCUGCAUCCCAUUGUACUGACAUGGACCUGUAUCCCUGCUUCUGAUCUGGACUAGGUCUGAGUCUGUCAGGAAUGAAGAAGAGAGAGAAGGAAUUCAUGCUGAAGAGGAGCAUUUGACAACUGCUGCUCAUUUGCAAACGCACUGCAAGAAGCAGAAAAUGGGAAGAUUGCCUUUGUCUGGCUCUGGCUAAAACGCUUCAGCUUCUUGUUGUUUCACGAGCAGGAACAUCAGCUCUGAUAACAGACAAACUGCCUACUCCAUGUAGCCAAGAGAGGCUCUCAAAAGAGCAAACCAUCUGUUAAAGGACUUGACUUUAUCUGACGGCAUCUUUUCUUUCUGUUGAAUCAACUAACACGAUAGCUUCAGGAUUCAGGGGACACUUGUGCUUGGCACGAAAAAAUCCUGUUGUGGGCAAGUUAGUGCAAAGCCAACUGGGGUGGCGCUGGGUGUUUGUGUGGAUGCAAGUGGGAAGUCUCCCGAGGCUCAUCCAGUGCUGGAUUAGCUGAAGUCAUACUCAGGUCAGUGCAGCCAGAAGGAUGGUCCUGAUAAGGCAAGAAAGGAAUGAAUGUGCAAUGGGAGGAGAGAGACUGGUGAUCCAUUGCUAAUCCAAAGAGUUCAUUUACUCACCUUGCCACGGAAAAGACAGAGUAGAAGCAGCACAAAACUUUAUCUAAAGAAAUGUUAAAAAGAAUCUUCUCCUAAAUGAACUAAUUAAAAUUAA